rnacentral:rRNA from 1 species
AUAGAGACUCAGAGCUGCAUAUCAAUAAGCGGAGGAAAAGUAACUAACAAGGAUUCCCCUAGUAACGGCGAGUGAAGCGGGAAGAGCUCAAAUUUGAAAUCUUCAAGGGUUCUACCUUGACGAAUUGUAGUUUAUAGAAGUGUUUUCUGUUAGUAGAGGUGGCUAAAAGUUCUUUGGAAUAGGACAUCAUAGAGGGUGAGAAUCCCGUAUUUGAUCCAUUUCUUUCCAGCUGUGUGAUACACUUUCAAAGAGUCGGAUUGUUUGGGAAUGCAGUCCAAAAUGGGUGGUAAAUUUCAUCUAAAGCUAAAUAUUGGCGAGAGACCGAUAGCGAACAAGUACCGUGAGGGAAAGAUGAAAAGAACUUUGAAAAGAGAGUUAAACAGUACGUGAAAUUGUCAAAAGGGAAGCGUUUGACACCAGUGUUGUUUUUCCGAAAAUCAAUUAAAAUGAUUGGAUUUUGAUGUAGUUAUGACUUCAUCAGCUUUCUGCACUUUCUUUAUUAUCUUUCUUAAUGCACUUUUCGUUUAACAAGUCAACAUCAGGUUCUUUUGUUGUAAAAGGGUCAUGAGGAAGGUGGCUUUCUUUUCGGAGAAAGUGUUUAUAGCCUUGUACCUCUGCAAUCGGAGAGAUUGAGGUCUGCAGCGUAGAUCCUUCGGGGUUAGAUACGUUUGUGCUAAGUUAUAGCUUUUCAUAGACAACUUGUUGACUAUGUUAAGUCUUGUAGCUUACUCGCUUAUGCUAUUUUACCUACGCUUAGGAUGUUGAAGAUAUGCGCGACACG